GAUGAACGCUGGCGGCGUGCUUAACACAUGCAAGUCGAACGGAAAGGCCCAAGCUUGCUUGGGUACUCGAGUGGCGAACGGGUGAGUAACACGUGGGUGAUCUGCCCUGCACUUCGGGAUAAGCCUGGGAAACUGGGUCUAAUACCGGAUAGGACGAUGGUUUGGAUGCCAUUGUGGAAAGUUUUUUCGGUGUGGGAUGAGCUCGCGGCCUAUCAGCUUGUUGGUGGGGUAAUGGCCUACCAAGGCGUCGACGGGUAGCCGGCCUGAGAGGGUGUACGGCCACAUUGGGACUGAGAGACGGCCCAGACUCCGACGGGAGGCAGCAGUGGGGAAUAUUGCACAAUGGGCGCAAGCCUGAUGCAGCGACGCCGCGUGGGGGAUGACGGCCUUCGGGUUGUAAACUCCUUUCGCUAGGGACGAAGCGUUUUUGUGACGGUACCUGGAGAAGAAGCACCGGCUAACUACGUG
rnacentral:rRNA from 1 species